UUGAAACACCUGUUCCCGUAUGAUCACCGAAGUUAAGCAACGUUAAAUCUGAUCAGUACCUAGAUGGGUGACCGCUUUGGAAUACCAAGUGCUGUAA